AGAGAGAGAGACGUGAGGAAGUUACGAAGAAAGAAAAAAAAAAAGAGAGUUGCUAGAGAGAGACAGAGGAAGGAAAAUCAAGCAUUUUCAUUGAGAUUUCUUUCGUUCAGUCUGGUAGAAACGUAACCUGAGGCGUUCUAGCAAAAAAACCUCAACUUCUGGAGGUUUUGGCACGAGAGUCGACACAACAAGAAAGAACUUCUAGCAAGCGGGAAUCCUAGCGGAUUAUUUGGAAGUAUAGACAUAUAUGUUUGUCUGGAUUCAAGUAACAAAGGUAAGCAGCCAACCAUAAAGUGAUUUUGCUUGAUGGACCGGCAGAGGCAAGGGUGGCGGAAAUGUCAUGGGUACACGAGAAUGGUUUCGACUAUGCUCGCUUAGAAAUUAAAUUCCACUGCAGAGUAAUGUAAUAUAGAAUCAAGUUUAUAUGUUUCAGUUUUAAGGAAAAGAUGUUACGGUCAUUGUCUUAGUAAAGAACAAUAGACUGUAAUAAGUUAAGAUAAGUUUCGGGGACCUGUUCCAUAUCCG